UUGUCGAAUUCCUGCAAAAGCAGACCGCGAACACGUUAAACCAUAUUCGGGUCGCGGGUCUGGGGGAGACCUUAUGCCCGCGCCCAUCUCUCGCACAUCGCGAGUUUAGGCGCGCGAUGUGCGGGCUAACGAACCCCGGCGCGGCAUGCGCCAAGGAAAACUCAUAGAAGCGUCGGCCUCCCUCCGCCCCGUUCGCGGUGUGCGGUGGGGAACUGAUGUCUCUCCAAUGUCAUAACGACUCUCGGCAACGGAUAUCUCGGCUCUCGCAUCGAUGAAGAACGUAGCGAAAUGCGAUACUUGGUGUGAAUUGCAGAAUCCCGUGAACCAUCGAGUCUUUGAACGCAAGUUGCGCCCGAAGCCAUUCGGCCGAGGGCACGUCUGCCUGGGCGUCACGCAUCGCGUCGCCUCCCACACCCACACCCCAAGGGGUGACCGGAUGGUGGGGGCGGAGAUUGGCCCCCCGUGCGAUUUCCCGCGCGGCCGGCCUAAAUGCGAACCCGUGGCGACUCACGACACGACCAGUGGUGGUUGAAAACUCAACUCUCGUGCUGUCUGUCGUGCUGUAUGAGUUGACCGUCGGGAUUCGUCGCAGACCCAAUGGCGCGAUCCUAUCGCGUCUUCGACCGCGACCCCA
rnacentral:rRNA from 1 species